CAUUGAGAUGAAGCUGUCCGUGUGUGGAUCCUAUUUCUCAAAAGUGGUUAUUGUGCUAUUUUAUGGGGGAAGUGGAGAAAUAAAACAAGUAGGCUGCAGAGUACGCAACAUGGUCUCAGCAUUUUGUAUUAUUCUAUACGUAAAGCUGAGACACUCCAUUUAGCAUGUUACAUUUCGUAUGGUAUGUAUUAACGAGCAAUGACUACCUUGCGCACCAAUCAUUUUAGCGAAGCUUCGUUGAUAGACUGUAUUUCUGCCCAAUGACCACUGAUCUUCUUGAAAUCUAGCUGGGUAGAUAGCCAAUGAGCUGAGGUAAACGCCAGUAUGUAAUGGUUUUGGGUUGGACCACCAUUCCUUGUUUGUAAAUGCAUGCGUAAGGAACUACAUUCUCGCCUUGACGAUCAGGGGAGUUGCUGUGAGGCUUGUUACGUGCAGCUGUAUUUCGGAAAGUUGUAUUUUCAACGAUUUCAUUGAAGAUAUCAUGGUGAAUAAAUCAGGAAAAGCGAAGUCUAAAGUGAAAGUGAGAGAUUUUUUGUUUGAGGAAUCUUUGAGUGUUAUGAUUCAAACAGGAACUGAGGAGCUGUUUCUGCAAGGACAGGACAUACUUCUGGACGGAUUCCCAAAAUGUCUCAGACUCCAGGAAUGGGAAAAUGCUUACAAGAAAGAAACGGAUGAAGACAGAGACUGAGUUGUCGAUUUCCAUUGUUUCUUGUAAUGUUAAAAAUGGAAGAAAAAGACAAUCCCGUUUUUCUAAAUUAGCUAGCUAUCUAGGCUACUCACCAUACUAUAGGCUACAGAUUUGAGUCACCUCUAAAAUAGUUAUUUUUAUGUUAUUGAGUAGACCUAUAUAUCUUUGUUUAAUGUAAUUCAUCUAAUUAUUAAUCUAACAGCUGUGAACGAUCUGAGAGACAAGGCAAGAAGGGCAUUCUAUGCCAUCAAAAUCCUUAUUGUUUUGUAAGAAAUAUAAGGUAUUUUUUACAUGUUGCAAUACAAUUUACUAAAAUAGAA